rnacentral:ncRNA from 1 species
UAUAUAUAUAUAUAAUUUUAUUUCGGUUAAAUUAUUUAUUUUAAGUUUUUUUUAUAUGUAAAUUUUUGUGAUAUAAUUUUUCUAAAAGAUUAAUUAUUUAUAAUUUGCAGUAUUUAAAUUUAAAAAUCAAAUAAUUUUGGAUUUAGGAAUAUUUAAUUAAUAUUGGUAAAAACUGUGCCAGCAUCCGCGGUUAUACAGUUUAAUAUGAGUAAAUAUAUUUAGUUUUAUAGUUAAUAAUAAAUAUUAAUUAAAAAAAAAUUAUAUAAAUAAAGUGAAAUUUUUUUAUAUAUAAUUAAUUAAUUUUUUUAUUUAUGAGGCUAUUAAAUUUUAAUAAUAAACUAGGAUUAGAUACCCUAUUAUUUAAAACGUAAAAAUUUAGUCUAGAUUAGUAAUAGAUAUAUUCUUUAAAAUUAAUAAAUUUGGCGGUAUUAUAAUCUAUUUAGAGGAACCUGUAUUUUAAUUGAUGAUCCACGAUAAAUUUUACUUAAUUUUGUUUUUCAAUUUGUAUACCGCCGUUAUCAGAGUAUUUUAAAAGAAUAAAAAUUUUCUAAAUUUUUAAUAAUAAAAUUAUUUCAGGUCAAGGUGCAGUUUAUAAUUAAGUUAAUAUGGGUUACAAUAAAUUUAUUUAAAUGAAUUUAGUUAAUGAAAUUUAAUUAUUAAAGUGGAUUUAAAAGUAAAUUAAAUUAUUUAAUUUAAUUGAUUAUAGCUCUAUAAUAUGUACACAUCGCCCGUCGCUCUCGUUCUUAAAAGUGAGAUAAGUCGUAACAUAGUAGAUGUAUUGGAAAAUGUAUCUAGAAAGUUU